rnacentral:rRNA from 1 species
CCUACGGGUGGCUGCAGUGGGGAAUAUUGGGCAAUGGACGAAAGUCUGACCCAGCCAUGCCGCGUGCAGGAUGACUGCCCUAUGGGUUGUAAACUGCUUUUCUACGGGAAGAAACACUCAUACGUGUGUGAGCUUGACGGUACCGUAGGAAUAAGGAUCGGCUAACUCCGUGCCAGCAGCCGCGGUAAUACGGAGGAUCCAAGCGUUGUCCGGAUUCAUUGGGUUUAAAGGGUGCGUAGGCGGACUACUAAGUCAGGGGUGAAAUCUUGCGGCUCAACCGUAAAAUUGCCUUUGAAACUGGUAGUCUUGAGUUCGGUCGAGGUGGAUGGAAUGUGUCAUGUAGCGGUGAAAUGCUUAGAUAUGACCCAGAACACCAAUUGCGAAGGCAGUUCACUGGACCGACACUGACGCUGAGGCACGAAAGCGUGGGGAGCGAACAGGAUUAGAUACCCUUGUAGUC